CCCGCACGGGCACGGGGGGGAGCAGGUUCGCGUCAUGUAGGUACGCGUGAGUGCACUGAGCCCGCUCCUCUGUCGUCUUCGGUUAGUACAAAGAGAGCCACCGGUACACGUAAUGCCUGAAAGGCACCUGAGUCCCCACGGGGCUGACAAGCCUGUGCGCUAAGUUUGCUGUUCUAAAUCUUGCUAUUACAAAGAUUUCAGCAGUAGUGAAUAAGCCUGACAAGACCAUUUCGCAAUCUCCUUCUCAGGCAGAGGCGGAUGGGAAAGGGAACAUGUGCAUUCUGCACGUGGGCAUCCUUGGACCGACAUCAGCCAAAGCCCCGUCCUGAGAGACCAGGGCAUGGUUCCCCACCUCGGUGCUUUGCCUCAGCCAAACGCCUGACUGCUCGGUCAGGCAGGUGGAGACACCAAAAGGAUGCGAAAAGCUGCCCUGAGCUCCCAGGGAGAGAAGAAAAGCAAUGAGACCUAUCUCAGAUUACUAAAAUGGAGAGACGUGGGCACUGUUUAAUGGCUACCUCAUGCAGCACGCUGAAGUUUGAAAGCAGCGAGGUAGACUCACUUUUCCUCAGGUGGCUGUAAUCACAGGAUGAUGGACCUUAAUGAUGGAGAACACUUGUGACCUGGCCAGUGAAGGCAUUUUCCCUCUGCAGGAGACUGAACAGAAGAAGGAACCUACAGAAGCCGCUGGAGUCCCCUUUCAGCACUUUUGGAGUACAAUCUUUGCCAAUAGGGACAAACUUGUUGUUGCCUGUGGCUGGAACUGGUGACAAGAAGUCUGCAUACCAGUGCACAUAGAGUGAGGCACACCAGUUGAACUGAAAGGAGAUCAAGCUCAGAUACGCCCUGACAUCCUCUUGCAUGGCUGAAAUGAGGUGAUAUGAAGAAGAAGCACUGACGGUCUUGGCCCCUCAGCUCAGGUUUAUGAGCCUCUGGGGCAGCUUGACAGAGACAGGCACUGGCACUGCAAGGAGAAAGUCAUAUUUUCCAGGGAAAAAAAGUCAUUAAAGAACAAAGUGCCGUAAGGAGAGCCAGAUUCCUGGGGAACUACGGCAAUGUGGAGACAAAGCAUUUAUAAGCAAAACUGAAAUGGAGUUCAUCUGCAGCCGGACUGAAAGUGAUGCAGUGAAUGAACCGACAAUAUCCACCUGCUCCAGAUGUGGAGAGGCAGUGGAUGACCAAUGCUGGGCUGCCCAGUUGCCUUCUGAGGUAGCUGGCACAACCGGGAUGGCUCAUACCCAGACUGCGUCCUGUCAACAGAAAGGCAAAUGGGGAACAAAUAGAUUCAUAGUUUUUGCCCAUUGGUUGCCGAUUACCUGUGUUUGAAAUGCUGCUCUUACUACUCACCUCCCCAACCACUCGCAGUGCCUCAGGAUUCCUUUCUUGAUAUUGCUGAAGCCUCUCAAGUGGAAGAUUCAGGGGAAGAAGUGUGCUGAGCUUGAUGAACUUUUUGAUCAGGUGAGUAGACUGUGAGUAGAUUGUGAGUAGAUUGCCAGGCUGAGAAGUAUCCAGCAAUCAGAGAGAGAGACUGAUGCGUGGUAUUGUGCAGUGAUGCAGGCAGAUCAACAGCCCUGUCUUAAGUUCCUGCAGGGGGAAGAAGCUAAGCAAGCUACCAACCCUGAGGAGGCAAAUGGCAAAAACAUUCAAGAUGAGGGAGACAGGACUCUGGUCUCUGCUCAGGGCAGAAGAGGGAACCUUCCCCUUGCUCCUGAAGCAUCAUGUAUGAAGCUCUGGGGGUGAAAGGGGAAAAGGAUGAAGACAAUAAUUCAGAACCAGAAAGGGACAACCACGUCAAGAUGGUUUAGCCAAGGACCCAAGUCAGAACCAGUGCCACCAAAGAAAGGCAAAGGGUUUUAGUUAUUGAAGACUCCAUGCUGAGGGACACUGUGGCACCCAUUUGCCAUGUGGAUAAACUCUCUGAAGAGAUUUGCUGCCUGCCAGAGUCCCGCAUUCAGGACAUGAGGAAGAGGCUACCAGGAAUAUUAAAACUGGACUUCUAUCUGCUUCUGUUCUUUUAAGCUGUCUGAAACUAGGAAAUUACAAAAUAUUAAAAGAAAGAUGUUGAAUGGAUUGGGAGCACAGGUAGUGUUCUCUUCCAUCUUCCCAGCUGGAGAUUGGGAUCCAGGCAGAAGGAGGAGAACAGACCAGUUGAAUGAACAGCUGUGUAGAUGGUGUAGGGCUUUAAAUUCUAUGAUCUAGGACACAAAGUCAAUAUAUCAGGCAUGUCAACAUUGGAUAGGACACAACUGACCAGGAGGGGCAAGGCUAUAGUGGACAGCAAACUGUCUGGGCUGAUCAGCAGAGCUUUAAACUAGAUUUGAUGAAAGAAUUGAAUGUACUGCUGAGUGACAGAAAAAAGCCAGGGAACACUGUCACUUUAGGAAGCAGAAGGGGAAAAAUUCAGAUUUAUCAAAGUAGAUUUGGCAGCAGGCUUCUCCAGUAAAGUAAUGUGGACAAUAGUCCAGCUGAAGUGCCUCUGUACCAAUGCACACAGCAUGGGAAAUAAGGAGGAGAAGUUGGAAAUCAUGGAGCAAUUAAAAACUAUGACUUAAUAAACGUGGUGGGACAAAUUGCACAACUAGAAUACUACAGUCGGAGGCUACAAGCUUUUUAGAAGGGAUAGGCAAGGCAUGAGGAGUGGGACAACAGCCCUCUGUUAAAAAUUGGAUAGACUGCAAAGAGCUGCCUCUGAGAAACAGCCAUGACCAGGCUGAGUUUAUGGGCUAAAAUUAGGGACUGGACCAAUAAAGGACAUCUGGUGGUCAGGGUCUACUACAGGCCACCUGAUCAAGGAAAGCCUGUCGAUGUGGCCUUCUUGCUUCAGCUGCAAGAGAUGUCACACUUGCAGGCUCUCACACUGAGAUGUCUGUUGAGAAGACAACAUAAUGGGCUGCAAGCAAUCCAGAGGACUCCUGGAAUCUGUUGAGGAUAACUUCCUGGUCCAGGUAUUGGACAGAUACACCAGAAGUGGAGAAGACGCAGUCUGGCUUGUAGUGACCGUGCCCUGGUCCAGUCCAUGAUCUCGAGGAAUGUGGGCCUGGCAAAGAGCAGAGUCAGGACCCUGAACUUCAAGAGAGCAAUCUUUGGACUGUCUAAGGAAUUAUCAGAUGAUAUCUCCUAGGAAACUGUCCUUAGGAACAAAGGAGUGGAACAGAGCUGGCAGCUUCCUAAGGACACCUU
ensembl:lncRNA